rnacentral:rRNA from 1 species
UACAGAGGGGGCAAGCGUUGUUCGGAAUUACUGGGCGUAAAGGGCGCGUAGGCGGCCUUCUAAGUCGAACGUGAAAUCCCCGGGCUCAACCCGGGAACUGCGUCCGAUACUGGAAGGCUUGAAUCCGGGAGAGGGAUGUGGAAUUCCAGGUGUAGCGGUGAAAUGCGUAGAUAUCUGGAGGAACACCGGUGGCGAAGGCGACAUCCUGGACCGGUAUUGACACUGAGACGCGAAGGCGUGGGGAGCGAACGGG